rnacentral:rRNA from 1 species
AUUGAACGCUGGCGGCAGGCCUAACACAUGCCAGUCGAGCGGAUGAAGGGAGCUUGCUCCUGGAUUCAGCGGCGGACGGGUGAGUAAUGCCUAGGAAUCUGCCUGGUAGUGGGGGAUAACGUCCGGAAACGGGCGCUAAUACCGCAUACGUCCUGAGGGAGAAAGUGGGGGAUCUUCGGACCUCACGCUAUCAGAUGAGCCUAGGUCGGAUUAGCUAGUUGGUGGGGUAAAGGCCUACCAAGGCGACGAUCCGUAACUGGUCUGAGAGGAUGAGCAGUCACACUGGAACUGAGACACGGUCCAGACUCCUACGGGAGGCAGCAGUGGGGAAUAUUGGACAAUGGGCGAAAGCCUGAUCCAGCCAUGCCGCGUGUGUGAAGAAGGUCUUCGGAUUGUAAAGCACUUUAAGUUGGGAGGAAGGGCAGUAAGUUAAUACCUUGCUGUUUUGACGUUACCAACAGAAUAAGCACCGGCUAACUUCGUG